rnacentral:rRNA from 1 species
GAUGAACGCUAGCGGCAGGCUUAACACAUGCAAGUCGAGGGGUAACAGAGGGUGCUUGCACCUUGCUGACGACCGGCGCACGGGUGCGUAACGCGUAUGCAACCUACCUUCUACAGGGGGAUAGCCCAGAGAAAUUUGGAAUAAUACCCCAUACGAUCAUUGAUUGGCAUCGAUCAAUGAGGAAAACUCCGGUGGUAGAAGAUGGGCAUGCGUCCUAUUAGUUAGUUGGUGAGGUAACGGCUCACCAAGACGUCGAUAGGUAGGGGCCCUGAGAGGGGGAUCCCCCACACUGGUACUGAGACACGGACCAGACUCCUACGGGAGGCAGCAGUGAGGAAUAUUGGACAAUGGGGGCAACCCUGAUCCAGCCAUGCCGCGUGCAGGAAGACUGCCCUAUGGGUUGUAAACUGCUUUUAUACAGGAAGAAACACUCCCACGUGUGGGGGCUUGACGGUACUGUAAGAAUAAGGAUCGGCUAACUCCGUGCCAGCCGCCGCGGUAAA